ensembl:processed_transcript Gm14169 predicted gene 14169
AUCUGCGACCGAUCGUCCAGAGAGGGCAGACUACCGGAGCGAGGUUACACAGCGCUGGCCGCGGUGGCGCGCGAACUUGGAAACCUGUGUUGUUGAGUGGGUCGGCAGGAAGGUGUUUUGGCUGCGUUCACUGUGGGGGUUCUUGCCUCUAGGAUCGGGUGCCCCCUCCCGGUGACCCGCUUCCUGGAGAACCCUUGUUUUGGGCAGCAGUACCUGGCUGGCUAACGCAUCUCUGGAAUUGGUGGCCGGGCACCUGUCCUCCCUCUCACGGGGGCAUUGUGAUCACGGACCAUAGUCCGUGCUUCUCCCUGAGCUCGUUUUUCUACCCGCACAAUCGGGACCACAUAGCAUCUACCUCCUUAAGAAACCGAAGAGAUAAAGAAUAGAGAGUUUGUGCUGUUUGGACUCCCACCAACUACAGCUACUGGCCCAGAGGAGAUCUGCCAUGACCCAUGCUGCAGGAAUUGGCUUCCUGGCUAAGAUAGGCAGAGGAAAGCCUCCUACUUCCUCUCCUUUCUGCUUUCAUGUCACAUACAUAUAAUGUGCAUAUAUUUAAAUGUAGAUUCUGCGUAUUUGAGAAAACACACACUGUUUGUCUCCUCGAGGCUGCUCUAUUUUCUCCCCACGAUAAUCCCCGGGUCCAUCUAUUUCCCUGCAAAGAACAUGAUUUCACUGUCCUUGUGACUGAAUGAAACUCUACUGUGUAUAUGCCACCAUCUCACACACACACACACACACACACACACACACACACACACACAUACAUAUACAUAUACAUGCAUACAUACAUAUAUACAUUAUAUAUGCAUACAUACACACACAUAAUUUAGACUGUUUGAAAAUGUAAACAUUUCCUUUAAAUAAUAAAAAGUGAGUUAGAACAUAUUUACUACUGUGGGAUUGAGCCAUGCAGGACUCUCCAAGUUCCUUGGUUUAGGCGGGGCUCCCAGGCAGGAAAUGAAGGGACAAUGACACAGAAUUUUCCUUUCUGUGAGGUUAAAGAGCAGAAGUCUAGGCAGGCUUCCUGAAGGAGGUGACAAGGAGUGACACAGGGAGAUGCCUCCAGCUGAGAAAACAGAAAACACAAAGGCAGUGUUGGGCUAGGUGAGAGAAAGCAUCAGGAGGUUCACAAAGGGUAAACACGUGGCAGGCAUGAUGCCUGUGCUUCUUAGCUACUGGGGUCGUGAAUCAAGGCCAUGACCAGUUGUCACUGUAUGCCCACAGACCGGCAAAAAUGACUAGGACAAUCGCAAAAGUUAGCGAAGAUGAAGCUCAGAGGCAGCCCUGACAUCCUAUUGGAAGGAGGGGGAGCUAGACCACCCACGGGAUCCACCAAUCUCACUGCUGCCCCGCACACAGCAUCCCUUCAGUUCCCAAGCAGGACCCCUCAGCAGGACCCUAGAGUCUGAAUGCCUACCAAGUUCCUAAGGAAGCUACCCUGUAGGUCCCCACGCUACACUGAGUGGAGGUGGGAGAUGUCCAGGAAGGUGCACAGAGAGACCUUUUGCAAUGCAGAAGAUCUGAAGGCAGUCCAAUUAGCAACCGCAGGGAGGGUAAAUCAAUGAACAAGUGAACAGUGAUAUAGACGCCGCGGCCGUAGAACAACGGGAUCAGGAUCACACCCAACAUAAACAGAUUCCAAUCAACAGUCACUGGACAAAAACCCGCACAAGGUGGUAGCUGUGAGCAUACAGUAACAAGCAGGAGCAAAGGCAUGUCAUCUUGAUACUCAUACAUACAGUGACACUGAGAAUGAGGUGGACCAGGGAGAAGCUCACUGAAUACGGCGUGUUCAUUCUAAACCUAAGCACCAAUGCUGAAGGGCACCGUGGAGGCAGGGUUGUUAGCUCCGAGUGUCUGAGAUACUAAAAAAAAGGGGGGGGGGAGGGGGAGAGGGCUGGGGAAGCCCAGUUGGUAAAGCGCCUGCUAUCUGAGCAUCAGGACAUCAGCUCGGGUCUCCAGAAUCCAUGUAAAAAGUGGGAGAGGGGAGCAAGGAUGGGGGAUCCCAGAAGCUCGUUGGCUGGCCAGCCUAGCCAAGUUGAUGAGCUUUAGGUCCAGGGAGAGACCUUGUCUCAAGAAAGGAACAUGGAGACUGACUAAGGAAAGACCUCUGGCCAGACACACAUUCAUAGGCAUAUGCAUUAGCAUCCACAUGUGCAUGAGCACUCCACACACAUAUCUCCUGUCUCUCUCUUUCCCUCCCUCCUGCCCUCCUCCUACCUCAAUACAACAACAACAACAACAACAACGACAACAGGACCCCGGGGAGAACGCUCAGAUGAAGAGCUUGCCACAUGAAUUGAGGACUGGAGUUCUGAUGCCCAGAACUCAUGCAAACCAGGUGAGGUGCUGUGAGUCUGUAAUCCUGGCACUCCACAGCCAGAUGGGAGGUGGAGACAGGGGGCUUAGGCACCAGCUAGUCCUUCCAUCGCAGUCGGUGACGAAAGAGCCUGUCUCAAGUAAGCAGACGCUGAGGGCAAAUACGUCAAAUUUAUAAUUAAAACACUUAAAAUGGAAAUUCAUUUAUAUAAUAAAUGACUAAGUUU